rnacentral:rRNA from 1 species
AGAGUUUGAUCCUGGCUCAGGACGAACGCUGGCGGCGUGCUUAACACAUGCAAGUCGAGCGGAGCCAAGCGAAAGAUUUAUCUUUAGCGAAAGCUUAGCGGCGAACGGGUGAGUAACGCGUGGGCAACCUACCUUUUGCAGGGGGAUAACACCGGGAAACCGGUGCUAAUACCGCAUAACACCAUAAGUUAGCAUUAACAUAUGGUCAAAGGAGAAAUCCGGCAGAAGAUGGGCCCGCGUCCGAUUAGCUAGUAGGUGAGGUAAUGGCUCACCUAGGCGACGAUCGGUAGCCGAACUGAGAGGUUGAUCGGCCACAUUGGGACUGAGACACGGCCCAGACUCCUACGGGAGGCAGCAGUGGGGAAUAUUGCGCAAUGGGGGAAACCCUGACGCAGCAACGCCGCGUGAAGGAUGAAGGUUUUCGGAUCGUAAACUUCUUUGAUUGGGGAAGAAAAAAAUGACGGUACCCAAAAAACAAGCCACGGCUAACUACGUGCCAGCAGCCGCGGUAAUAC